GAUCAUGGCUCAGGAUGAACGCUGGCGGCGUGCCUAAUACAUGCAAGUCGAGCGAACAGAUAAGGAGCUUGCUCCUUUGACGUUAGCGGCGGACGGGUGAGUAACACGUGGAUAACCUACCUAUAAGACUGGGAUAACUUCGGGAAACCGGAGCUAAUACCGGAUAAGAUUUUGAACCGCAUGGUUCAAUAGUGAAAGACGGCCUUGCUGUCACUUAUAGAUGGAUCCGCGCCGUAUUAG
rnacentral:rRNA from 1 species